GGACCUGUGGCGCAGCGGUAGCGCGUCUGAUUCCAGUCCAGAAGGUCAUCCGUUCAAAUCGGGUCAGGUUCA
rnacentral:tRNA from 2 species